AACGAACGCUGGCGGCAGGCCUAACACAUGCAAGUCGAACGACAGCAUCGGGAGAGGUUGCGCAUGCGGGUGGAGAGCGGCGGAACCGUGAGGAAUACUCGGGAAUCUUCCCCUUAGUGGGGGCUAAUGCCGGAAAAUGUACUCUAAUCCAAGAUUCUACGCCUUUGGAUGGGCCGGCGUUGUUUUAGCUUGUUGGUAGGGUAAAAGCCUACCAAGGAUUCGAUCCUUAGCUGGGUUGAGAGGCUGAUCAGCCACACUGGGACUGGGACACGGCCCAGACUCCUACGGGAGGCAGCAGUGGGGAAUAUUGGACAAUGGGCGAAAGCCUGAUCCAGCAAUGCCGCGUGAGUGAUGAAGGCCUUAGGGUUGUAAAGCUCUUUUACCCGGGAUGAUAAUGACAGUACCGGGAGAAUAAGCUCCGGCUAACUCCGUG
rnacentral:rRNA from 1 species